rnacentral:lncRNA from 1 species
UUUGGAGACACAGAGGAGUUGGCCAUCAAAAAAGAGCCUUACGUACUUGAAACAAUAAAGCCAGUGAAGGUCACGUGGCAAGAGGAUCCACGUUUCCAGGACAGCAGUUCUGAGGGUGAUGAUGAGCCUGAGAUGUCAGGAAUUGAAAAGGACCAAGAAAUGUUUCUUUUUUUACUACGCACAGAAAGUGCUAGAGAUUUUUUCUUCUCCAAAGAUGAUGAAUGCCUAAGCGGUAUGACAGAAUUUCUUCACCCCCUUUUGUAUUUUUUUCCUUUUAAACUCUUCCUAGAAUUCAGUGAGGAGGAAAAAAUGCUGCCUAGUUAUGAAAGUUUUCUAGAGAAAAUUUGCCACCCUUACUUGUGGUCCAAUUUGUGGUAGAAUCCUGUGAGAAAUUCCUGGUAAAAUAAAGGUCAAGCAGAUUUCUGUGGUUUUUUUUCU